rnacentral:tRNA from 2 species
GAGGGGAGGUAAACCAACAAGAACUGCUAACUCUUGCACCUGGGCUUAAACCCCCAGUCCCCUUA